CGUAAUACAGGAGAAACCUCUCAGAAUAGACACACAUAUAACGGUGAUCUAAAUGAAAUAGAUCACAAAUAACGGGGGAGGCCGAGCCCCGGCCGGACAUCUCCCGACACUAAAUGAAGCUUUGGGUUCUGGGAACCGGCUGCAGAUAAUUGAGUUGUUGGGGAAAGGGCCCCAUUUUAACCCACAAACAACCCAGAGUGCUGCCAAGGUUAUCAGCUGCUCUCUCCAAAGCGACGCGGCCCCGCUGCCGAGGAAACACCUGCACACCUCAGCAACCGCGGGGGCCGGGCUGGGGCCGCCUCCGGCCUCCCCUGCGGACCAGGGUCUGCCGUGCCGGGAGCAGCCGGGCUGCACGACGCGCCCCUCGGAGGAGUAGCGCCGCACAGCGCGCGGCGGUCGCCACCCAGUAGCCCAUGGAAACUGGCUGACUACCGCGAGCGCACUCCGCGAGGGGCCUCGCCCGAGACCGCCCUGGUGGCCGAGAGCCCGGAGAACAGAGCAGCCCAGGUCUGCGCCAGUUCACCCAACGAUUCCGUCACCACCGAAGCUUCCUCCGCCAAGAGGCGGGACCAGACACCCUCAGCGGACGGCGGACAGCGCGCGCAGAGUGGGGACCUUCCACGCUGAUUGCUAGAGAGAGAGAAACCCGGGCUUAUUGGACACACCUGGAAUCCCAGCUCUGGGUAGGUAGAAACAAGCGGAUUCCUGGGAUCCCGGAGUCAGCCCGCUAGUCUAGCCUACCUGGCAUACUCCUGGUCUUCGUUUGUAAGGUAUUGUGGGGUCGUCUGUAGAAUGGCUCCAAGGCAAACCCAUCCUGUGGAGGUGACUUGGAAGUACUGAGUGUGAGAGCUCAGGCUGAGAGGCUGGAGUCGGCCAAGGCGGCUGCCUCUAGGUCAGCUAUGACAGCAUUCAUCAUAGUACAAACACAGGUUCACGCCGCACAUGUGGAGAAAAGAGCAACUCAUCAGCCCUUUGCGGCGUCCAGACUCCAUCCGUCAUUCCUUAGGCCUGCGCACUGUAAGCAGAGCUGUCCCCCUUCUGGGUGAGCCCGUCGCCCGGAAGCCUUAGCUUGAAGAUGAGACUGGCCGCCCUCUCUGAGGCAGCAGCCUUCACAGUCACCGGGACGCUCCCGUGAGAGACACGCAGGCCCAGAAAUGAAAGAACCUAGCGCUCCAUCCUGAGAGGCAGUGUCGCACCAGCUGAACAGCAGUGUGCUAGGGAUAAAAUCUAAGGCCACAUCCGCGCUAAGCAACACUCCCCCAAGACUCUCCAAACCCUGUUAACACGUGGUUAGUAAACGGCUAAGAAUGGCACUUGUAUACUUUUCAUUGAUCAAAAAA